rnacentral:rRNA from 1 species
GACGAACGCUGGCGGCGUGCUUAACACAUGCAAGUCGAACGGAAAGGCCCUGCUUUUGUGGGGUUCUCGUGUGGCGAACGGGGGAGUAACACGUGUGUAACCUGCCCUUGACUUUGGGAUAACUCCACGAAACUCGGGCUAUUACCGGGUAGGAUCUCUUGCUGCGCGUUGUUGGUUGGAAAGAUUCGGCGGUGUGGGAUGGACUGGCGGCUUAUCCGCUUGUUGGUGUGGUAGUGGCUUUCCAGGCCUUUGACGGAUAGCCGGCAUGAGAGGGUUACCGGCGUCAUGGGGACUGAGAGACGGCGCAGACUCGUACGGGAGGCAGCAGGGGGGAAUAUGGCACAACGGGCGGAAGCCUGAUGUAGCAAUGCCGCGUGCGGGAUGACGGGUUUCGGGGUGUAAACCGCUGUCGCCUGUGACGAAGCGUGAGUGACGGUAAUGGGUAAAGAAGCACCGGCUAACUACGUG